UCUCUGCCAGGCCCCUGUGGUAUCUCACCUUGCAGAAAAGUGACAAGGAAAGCACAGUUGGAUCCCUGUUGUUGGGAAGACUGCAGUGCUUUAUUUUGCACAUGGAGCUGUGUUAAGGGUAAUACUGGCAAUUGCCAUCAACUCGAAGAAGGGUGAAACUGGGAUGAGAAGAUGUUUUCCUAAUACAGCAUCUCCAAAUUGGCUAAAUUGUUAUUCGCCUGAAGUCACUGAUGGAUCACAAGGAGCAGUCAUGACCUCUGGACUUUUCAAAUAUCCUUUCAGCAUGAGUAGCCCUUUCACAAUCAGGCUACUCUGACCAGCAAUCAGAUCAGAGCUGCACUUGGGUGAGUCUGUGGGACAGCAUCUCUUCCAGCUGCUAUUUAACAUUCUAUUAAUCAGCCUGUCUUAUUCUCUGCUUUUCCUAACUAUCCCUGGUUCUUGAUGCUUGAAAUUGUUCUGAUUUGAGAAUACAGUAGAAUUGCUACACAUCUAUAAAAUCCUAAGUAGGGCUUCGACAGCAAAAUGCCAGCUGAAGGGACAGCACCAAGCAGUACCAUGGUUAUUCACACCUUAUGGACAGUUGCUGUAUGAGUGCAGAGGAGGAAGUUUUUCUCCAUCCUUCACAACAACACUCCAUGAACUCUACGAAGUGUGAGAUUACUGUUCCAGUAUCCUUCACAGAAGCCCAUGGUGUACAGCUGGUCAGCUUAGUCCAUGCAACAGCUGCCAAGCUGGGGACAAUAUUACUCCCAUUAUCCCUCUGAAGUCCAUCUGGUGCAGAGCAGCACUUUGUGGCUCAUGCCACACGAUGCUGGUGUAAUUCCUACUUGUUAACCCUGAGAGAUGUAAAAGGGAAAUUAUAAGCAAGGCUUUUAUCAGCCCAGAUGCCAAACUUUAGACAAUAGAAUUAACUGAUAAGUGUCAUUUCCUGUAUAAGCUGCUUCCAGUUCAAUUUAUUUUACAGCUCUCAUGAAAGAUUAUAUUUUAGUUUUAAUUAACAUUUUUUUAAGAAAUCAAGGCAUUUCUGUUCCUAACAGAACACAGAAUGACCACCUUUUCCAGUUAAGAACCUAUCCUUCGA